CGGUCACACAACUGCAACAGCUGAUUUGAAGUAUUCAGUCGUGUCUUUGUCUCUGAAAUUACGGCCUUGUAUCAAGAGAGAUUUUCAAAAUGAAUAGCGGGGAAGACAUUAUAGGACGUUUAAUUGCGAGUUUACUGAUGCUCGUCAUCGCUUACUAUUCCAUUCGUUGGACAGCAAGUUUCCUGCUGUCAAUAUUUAAGCCCGUGAUGAUAGCUCUUACAACUUUAACCCUGUUUGGCUUACUGAAAGAUAUCCACGAAGGAAAAUAUGGUUGAAAAUAUAUGACUACCGCUGUUGAUGUUGAUCAAAAAUAUAUAUAUUAAAUUUAUCAAUGCAAAUAUUAUGUCAAUCGCCACGUAACAACAAAUAAAACGGUAUCUUCGCAUUUUA